GGAUGAGGUUGGUGAAACUGAUGAAGAUCGAGAUAAGAUGCUUCUUCAGAUAGACCAGGAGUGCUUGGAUGUUUACAAUAGAAAAGUUGACCAAGCAGUGAAAUCGCGGGAUCACCUUCUUCAGGCUUUAGCAGAUGCCAAAGUUGAAUUCUCCAGGCUGCUAUCAGCUCUUGGACAGAAAACAUAUGAUGGAAUUCCUGAGAAGAAAUUAGGAUCAAUCAAGGAACAACUUGCAGCUA
rnacentral:misc_RNA from 1 species